GAUACGCUACGGCCGGCUAUACCUGCAGUCUGAACGGUGCCUUCGGGCAUAGUGGCGCACGGGUGCGUAACACGUAUGCAACCUACCUUACAUUGGGGGAUAGCCUUUCGAAAGGAAGAUUAAUACCGCAUAAUACAAUGAGUUGGCAUCAGCUUAUUGUUAAAGAUUUAUCGAUGUAAGAUGGGCAUGCGUCCAAUUAGUUAGUUGGCGAGGUAACGGCUCACCAAGACGAUGAUUGGUAGGGGAACUGAGAGGUCAAUCCCCCACACUGGCACUGAGAUACGGGCCAGACUCCUACGGGAGGCAGCAGUAGGGAAUAUUGGGCAAUGGACGCAAGUCUGACCCAGCCAUGCCGCGUGCAGGAAGACGGCCCUCUGGGUUGUAAACUGCUUUUAUAUAGGAAGAAAGAAUCCUUGCGAGGAUAGUUGACGGUACUAUAAGAAUAAGCACCGGCUAACUCCGUGCCAGCAGCCGCGGUAAUACGGAGGGUGCAAGCGUUGUCCGGAUUUAUUGGGUUUAAAGGGUGCGCAGGUGGUUUAUUAAGUCAGUGGUGAAAGACGGUCGCUUAACGAUUGCAGUGCCAUUGAUACUGGUAGACUUGAGUGAAUUAGAGGUAGGCGGAAUUGAUAGUGUAGCGGUGAAAUGCAUAGAUAUUAUCAAGAACUCCAAUUG
rnacentral:rRNA from 1 species